rnacentral:snRNA from 1 species
AACUGGCUUGUGGCAGCCAAGCG